rnacentral:rRNA from 1 species
GAACGCGACUGCUUCGGCAGUCGAGUGGCGGACGGGUGAGGAACACGUGGGUUAUCUACCUUGAGGUGAGGAAUACCGGCGAGAAAUCGCCGACAAUACCGCAUACGUUUGGAAACAAACAAAGUUCACGCAAGUGAACGCCACAAGAUGAGCCUGCGGCCGAUUAGCUAGCUGGUGGGGUAAAAGCCUACCAGGGCGACGAUCGGUAGCUGGUCUGAGAGGACGAUCAGCCACACUGGGAUUGAGAACGGCCCAGACCCCUACGGGGGGCAGCAGUGAGGAAUUUUCGUCAAUGGGGGCAACCCUGAACGAGCAACGCCGCGUGCAGGAAGAAGGUUUUCGGAUCGUAAACUGCUUUUAUUGGGGAAGAGAAGGGACGGUACCCAAGGAAGAAGCCCCGGCUAACUACGUGCCAGCAGCCGCG